GAUCAUUGGGGGUGUACAUAUUGUUGCUCAAACAAACGUUACUCCAAGAGUGUUCGUUUUUCUUGGUCGAAUGUUCAUCGUUUAAAACAGACUGCAUAAGCAUGCAAGCAUUGAAGCCAGCGGUAAUUUGUGUGCUGCUUGCCUCGUGGCUUCUCGUCAAUGCUGAUGACGUCAUCAAUGUUAUCCAAGAAGAUGGCAGAGGUCAGCCCAAGCCUCCUCCACCGAUGUGUUUUUCGACCUUUGUGGAAUGCAUGACAGAAGCGAAAGCAUCUGGUAAUAGCUGCGAAGAAAGACUGGAGUGUUUUCUCCAACUUCAUGUUUGUAAACAACGCUGGGCAAAAAGCAUUGGAAUCAAGGAUCCUUAUUUGCAAUAAACAAAUUGCUUUUUG